GUUCACUUUCUUCUAUCUUUAUUCAUGUGACAAAAUCACAAAAUUUGCUAUUUUGAGGUUUCUUGAUCUUGCAAACCAAAUUUUGGGUUUGCUUGGAUUUUAUUUUUUUGUAAGUGAAAUCUUUGGAUUUGUUUUGCAUUGGCGUUGAGUUUUCAAUUUUGGGGUAAUUUUUUACUACCAUUAUUGAAAAUUCUAGGGUUCGUGACACAGAGACUAGAGACUCUAUAUACAUAUAAAAUAAUCUUCAAUUAAAUUAUAUAUACUGGGUUCGUGACACAGAGCCUAGAGAGCCUAGAGACUGUAUAGUAGUGUAUACAUAUUAAAUGAUGUUCAGUUAUAUUAUAUAUAUAUACUCAAUUAAUGGAGCAAUGGAAAUCAAUAGUGGUUUUGGUCUUGGUUUGUUCUGAUUGAAUUAUUUGGGUGGUCAUCCCCCCCUUGAGAUGCGUAUCUUCGGCGGAUUUCGGCCAUCUUGGCGACGACGAGUGUAAACAUAAAAUCUUUGCUGAUGUUGUAAGCGACGAGAACUUGGAUUCUUGUGAGGUUUUGGCCUUUCGCCUACCCAACGAUGAUGGUGGCUUGCUACUUGGUAUGGCAACUCCGGUUGCAACCGUAGCACCACAGAGCGGGUUAAACGACGAUGAUAAUCUCUUUUCGGAUCUGAGUUGUGAUGAAUUUAUAUGUAUGACUCUAAAUCGGAUGUUGAUGUUGCAUUGGCGUGGCAUGUAUGGAUAUUGUUUUAUAUGGGUUUUUGUUGCUUCCUGUACUUUGAGAACAUGAGGAACAUGAACAUUGUACCUGAGAAAGAAAAUUAAAUAGGCUGUGAUGAUAUAAGAAAAUCCAUCUAUCUUUGUUGUUUUGGCUUGGCAAUGUGAUGAUUUGCAGCCACAAUGAGGUAGUAUAUUUGAGCCUACGAAACACAUCUAACCAAAUCGGAUGUGUUCAUGUUGGAAUUUUACUAUUGAUGAUGUUGUUGUUGGUGCUUCCCUUUAAUAGAUUGAUUUGGGUUUGUUUGUUUUUAUCAAUUGUGUUGCUUUAUGUAAUAGGGACUUUUGGGGGUUUUUGUUAUGGGUUAUAUUGAAAUAAAUAGUUUUAACAUGUUUUAGUUAGCGUCUUUAGUUGUCGACUUUUUUGGGGCAAAUUGUAACAGAGAAAAUUGAAUGGGCCGUGAUGAUAUAAGAAAAGUCGUCCGUCUUCGUUGUUUUGGCGUGGCAAUCUGUUGAUUUGCAGCCAUAAUGAGAUAAGUGUGGAUGCUAAAUCAUGAGACGGUUACCAUCACCACCCGCGCUGCACUAUCAUCACCGUGUACGGCCUAUUUACGCUAAUAUUAGAGUUAUGGAUCCUAUGAGAAAAUCCAAAUGCGACCUGUAAUCGUAAAUCAUGUAUCAGAAUCAGACGAAGUGGCCGCAGUUCGAAGCCAUCAAUGGAUGUGGCGGUGGUUACUAUAAUCAAGUGUGUAAUUGAGAAUAUCCACCUUUGUCGCCAACUAAUUUGCUUUGAAAGAUUGCAAGAUGUUGAGUUAGGGGCACAUAUUUAGGCACACCUGGUAUAAAUUAGUUAUUAUUUCUGGAGAGUAUCGGAGUUCAUCUUUGAAGCACAAUUAUUAUCUUCCCGUCCGCUUUGACGCGUUUCAUUUGCAGACCAACUAUGCUCUUUAUUAUAUUCCCGUCCGCUUCAACGCGCUUCAUUUGCAAAUAAACUACGCAUUGACGUUAGCCGAAUAUGUGAACAGGAUCCCUUGGGCUUGCAGAGUUGCAGGUUCUGACUUCUAUAUACUAUGUUUUUGUUCACACCUAAACAGCACAACAUUGAUUUUCUUACUACAUGUAUGGUGAAUAAAUAUUGGUUAAUAUUGUAAUGGAUCUACAAUUGGGAGGUGUAUAAUUAUAGCUCUCAAGGGUAUCAUUGGUGCCCAUGCUUCAUGCAUGUAAGGUAGACUGCUUGUAAUAUAAUGGUAUUGGGUGUUUAGUCAGCAACUUUGGGUU